UGAUCCUAGCUAGGGAGUUGUUAGGCCAAACUUAAAUGUCUCCAACUUCAUAGGACCUGUGAGAGUUUGUGCUUGAAUAGCCUUUAAAAACACUUCAAAGUGACUCUGACACAAUGUGGACUCCAUGGGGAACUCAAGCAGGAGGAAAGGUUAUGUUUAAAAAAAGCAAUUUUGAAGUGCUAAUGUUGUGCCAAGCAACUAGGCUGAACAUGAGGUCCCACCCACAUCCACUAGAGAGGAGGCACAUUUGUUCCUGGACUCUAUUGUCUUCAGUGCUUGUAUGCUCAAACAAAUACAACCAACCUCUAUGCAAACUGCCUUGUCAAAGGGAGCUAGGAAAUGGAUUAUUUCUAUUUCUCAUGUUCUCAGAUGAAUGUCUUCUUUCUUCCAACUAUGUGCAUGUUGGUCCCCUGCCUCCUUGUGACUACAAAUACUCCUCUCUACAUUGGAACCUGGAAUUGAAUAAUAUGCAAUGGAAUUGCCAAACAUCACUUGGACCUGUGCCCAGUAUUACCUCAAGAGUCUUCUGUAAUAUCUUUUUGAUGAUGGAGUCAGAAAUAAACCACUGGAACCUUGUGUAAAAGAAAGCUAAACUUUUCAGGCCACCAGUGAUUCAAUUUCACAAAAGCAUCUUUGGUAUUUGCAUAUACAGAUUGAAUUAUUUAUAAUUAACUUCCCAAAUCAUGUACUCCAACAGCCUUCUAAUUCCCUUGGUCUUCUGCCUCAUUGAAAAGUUCAGUCACAUUUGACAACUCCAAUCUGGCAUUUUAAAUGUGACAAGCCUAGCCACUACACUCAUUCUUCAAAUGACUUAGGCAAAGUGACACUCACUAAAACCUUCCACC
rnacentral:lncRNA from 1 species